UUAUUAUUUUUUUGUAUUAUAACAAUUGUAUCUAUUUAUCUUACUAUGGGUAUGGAGGGUACAAAACAGAUCCACGAUAUAGACCUUGUAAUUGACAAGGUUACAAAGAAGGCUGAUCUUUACUAACAUCUUAGCAUGUACAUGGAUUUAAUAUGUAUGUGUUGCCUAACUUGUAGUGGUUGCUAAUAAGGUGGUUGAUAUUGUAGGUUUACAUGAAUAUCUAGGAUCUCCUCCUGAAGGGGAAUUUUCAAUGCAUUUGCAGUCCAAUUCACUGAUAAAGAACUAGAAAAACUGGCUAAUGUAUAUUGGAACAUCCUCUUGUAAUUUUGAAAUAAAUUUGUUUCUUUGAUGUCUCAUAAGGUUGUAGUGUCAUUUAAACUUGAUAUGCAGGCAUGGAGGGAGUGGCGUCCAUUAAACCCUCCAACUUCACACAAUGAGAUCUCGACUUCAUAGGUUUCACUGAAACCAUUAAUUGAAAUCUCGUUGUUGAGAGUGAUGUCAUUAUCGGUGUUAUUGAUGCUGGAAUUUGGCUUGAUUCACCAAGUUUCGGUGAUGGAGGUUUUGGUCCUCCUAAGAAAAUAGAGAGGUGCUUGUAAGGGUGGCUUAAAUUUUUGUUGCAACAAGAACAUAUAAUAUUUUUGAAUAUAUAUUUCUACUUGCACAUGCCAGCAUGCAGACAUGCUACUAGUUAUGUUAACACAGUUUUCUCUAUUUGGUGCACUUGUUGGUAUUUUUUUGGUGUCCCUGCUCAUCCUCCUUUUAUAUAACCUGAUGGAUGAGAUACUUGUUAGAGAAAAAGGUGAAAAUAAUUGAGAAAGUGAACAGAAAAGCAAGAAAAAAGAAGUAUUUGGUUAUCUUGGUCAGUAAUAUUAAUUUUGUUUAUCUUGUUCUUAAUAGAUCUAACCACCACCUAAUAAUAGGAGCAAGUAAGGUUAAUCAUUUUCCUUUUUUUUGAACUAACGUUGUUUUGUAUAUUGUUAUGUGUUUCAUGUCAACAACUGAAGAUUCUCUUAGCAAUCUGGGGUGUAAAUUCUACAGGAAGUUGAUUGGAGCUUGGAGUUAACAGCUUCUACGAGGGACAUGAGUGGUCACGAAACCCACAGGGCUUCCAUGGCAACUGGCAAUAAGGAUUACAGGAUCUGAACAAAUUGUUCCAGAGCUCCAAAGCAAUCGGUGCUUGUCAUGCUAUGGAGAGGGGUAUUUUAGCCUAUAACACUGCAGGAAUUGAAGGUCCUUGGCAAGGUGGUAUAGUGAAUAUUGCACCCUGGAUGCUCAGUAUAGUGGCAAGCAGCACUGAUUGCAGAAUCGUUGACAAGGUUGUUCUUGGAAAUGGAACAACAUUAAAGGUAUGUGUUAUUAAUUCCCCUUCUUUUGAGUACUUAGUUUAACAAGAACGUGCUUUCAUAGGUAAUAUGUAGUGCAUAUUAAUAGAUGGGUCUGGCCCCUUGUUUAAAUGGUGUACGAAAAAUUUCAGUUUUCCAUUGUGUGAAAUUAAGAAACCAGCAACAUUUUUGAUAUGUAUUGCACUACUUGAAACGAUUUAUUAUACACCAUUGUAUAUGAACAGGGUGAUGCUGUUGAUUAAUUCUUUUGCAUUGAAUGGAACAAAGUUUCCUCUUAUAUAUGGAAAAACUGUCGAAGUCAAUGUGAUGAAUCAGGUGCCGUGUAAGUUCUGCUCUCGAGUAAAUAUUGACCCCAAAUUUCAUCAGAGAGAGGGAAUGCAAGAAUAAAUGGAAUUGUAUUUCAUUUCCAGGACUGUGAAGGACUGUUUAGACAGUAGUUUGGUGAACUGAAAGAUUCUACCAUGUGAAUGUUUCUGAGGAUUCGAAGAAGCACUUAGGGCUGGUGCCCUUGGGUUGAGCACAUUGAACAAUUUGCAAGAAAAUGUUUAUCUUGUCUCUCCUGUCAUUCCCUUGCAUCAGUUAUAACUGGACAAGGAUUUUUAGUUGCAGAAUUUUCAUUAUGAGGGCCGAACCAUCAUAUACUGAAAAAUUUGAAGGUACAUCUAGUCCAUGAUUGAUACUUCUCUCUCAUAGGUUUUGUUAGAUAUAAUUUAUCUACUUCUUGGGUUCAUCAAUAUGUUGCAGCCAGAUGUAAGUGGCCCAGGACUAGAUAUCUCAGCAGCAUUUUUCACCAUUUGCUUCACAUUCAGCCUGGCUCAUGAAUGCUACCAAAAAUUGACAUGGCAACCUUAUGGAUCAGGUCAUGUUGAUGGAACCAAUAAAAGCUAUAAAUCCUGGUUUAGUGUAUGUUGCCUUAAGGCUGACUUCAUCCGAAGGAUGUGCAGCAUGGGCUACAAUACAACAUGGUAAAAACUCAUUUCAAGAGACAACAGCAGCUGUCCUACUGACAGUAGAGGCUCCCCUAAGGACCUCAAUCAUCCUUCAAUGGUCUUAAUUUUGCAGAAAAAAGGCCUUUUAAAGUCUGAGUUUCCAAGAACACUUACAUUCGGCCCCUCAAUAUCCCAUGUCAAAAUAGGCGCAGAUCCUGCCAUUCUUGCAUUUUUGUCCUUAAAUCUUAAAUGAGGAAAUGUUUUAUUGUGAUUGUUGCCGGAGAAUUGGAAUCCAUGGGUUUCUUUUCAUGAAUGCUGCAUUAAAUCUUUCAAGAGUA